AACCAAACAGACCCAAUGAAACCUAAGCAUGUCCUCCCCCACCGCACCCCUAUCCUCGCCUCUUUCCUUCCCUGCCUGCUGCCCUCCCUACGGCAGCUCCUCUGCUUCGGCCCGGCCCUCCAUGUAUGUGCCGCCGCGCCCCCACUCACCCCCGUCGUCGCGGCCACAGGGCCUCGCCUCGCCCGCCCCGCCCAAUGCCGACGCUGAUUCCGGCACCACGCACCCACGGCACGACGCCACGCCUCGCUCGCCUUCGUCGAGGCCGUGCGAUGCAGCCCAAGCACGGUGUGUCUCGGCCUUGGCCAACGCGCUCGGCCAUGACUAGCAGCGACUCAUGAAGCGCUUGGGCACAUGGGCUGCGGUCAAGCGGCGGUAGCGUCGCAGGGGCCAUGUGGAAGCCGGGAUGAGGACGGACACUUCCAGAUCAGGUGCUCGCACCUGAUCUUGAUUUCUGUGGUCGUGGCGGUUGAAGAUUGAGCAUUGGACGGAUGCAUCUAGAUCAGACCUGUCCUAUAUGGCCGAGCAAGAUCGAGGACGACUGCCGAUAAUGUUCUCCUCGUGUGCAAGCUCCGCACUGCACUGAAGCAUCCGACACAUGCUUAUUCCUUUUAAUGAUCUGAGAAAUAUAUUUGGAUCAGGGAAGCAUGAAGCACAAGCAAUCAUCUCAGAUAUCGAAUCUCAAGCAUACAGAAAUAGGCUUGCAAAAUUCUUUAGUACUGAUUUAGUUGUUGCUCCUAACAAAGCCUCCAAAAUCUCUGCGAAGAGUUAUAGUAUGAUCCUGAACUUGCGAGCAAGAUGCAUAAAGGCUCCUGGACUGCCGCGUGGUCACAGUGAAGAUGUGACACUUGUGGUUAUCUUUAUGUGGCAUUGAUGGUCAGAGAAACAAAACAAAGCUGGAGUGUGGUAAUAGCCAGGGACAUGUACCCAACUGUGAUGUCACCUUGGCCAUGCCCUUCUUUGUGAACUAUUAUGUAUGAAAUAUCCAGAAAAAGCUUAUCAAGACUAUUGAUAGUGCUUCUCUACUGCUCGAGUAAGGUAGUAAACGGUGAGAUGAACGCCACCCAUGUUGUCGUCUCAGCCAUAUGGACAUAAUCUAAGGAUGGGAUCCACUCGCCUCAAGAAGGACGAUGACCACAACGAGUACCACCAUUGAACUGAAGGAGCCAGGGUGCAGGCGUUCCUCGAGAUAUUUCCAGUGGCCCCGCAGCCGAAGAAGCCGAAGUUAUGAUGAAGGUGUGACAUACAUCUGUUGGUGCUUAUGAAGUGUGCAACACAUGUACCAUGAAAGGGGGUACUAAGUUUGAUUUGCGUGGAUAUACUGUACUUCCCCCAUUUUCAAAAUACAAGUUGUACUUAGCUUUUCUAAAUUUAUACUUUGCCUAUAAUUUUUCUUAAAAAAAUUAGUUGGUGGUUACAAAACA